rnacentral:rRNA from 1 species
GAACGCCGCGAUCGAUCCUGGAGUGGCGGACGGGUGAGUACGCGUGGGAACUGCCCUUAAGUGCGGGAUAACCGAUGGAAACUUCGGCUAAUACCGCAUGCGCCCCGGGGCGACUGGGGGAAAGAUUAUCGCUCGAGGAGGGGCCCGCGUCGGAUAAGCUAGUUGGUGGGGUAACGGCCUACCAAGGCGAUGAUCCGUAUCUGGUCUGAUAGGAUGAUCAGCCACACUGGGACUGAUACACGGUCCAUACUCCUACGGGAGGCAGCAUUAUGGAAUAUUGGACAAUGGGGGCAACCCUGAUCCAGCAAUGCCGCGUGAUUGAUGAAUGCCUUAUGGUUGUAAAGCUCUUUCGCACGCGACGAUGAUGACUGUAUCGUGAUAUGAAUCCCCGGCUAACUUCGUGCCAUCAGCCGCGGUAAU